UACCUCUUGAUAGAUGCAUAUCCCGUAGCAAAUAAGGUAUUUAAGUAACUAUUUACUUUGCUCAUCACAAAUGUAAAUGUGAGUCUACAGUCAGCCUCUAACUGGGAUGCAUCCUUUGUCAAGCUUUGUUUAUAUUUAUUCAGUUUAGGAGUAAAUAUCUCCAAGUACACUUCCAAUAGGACACGGCAGACAGUCUGUGUUAAAUAGUGGCAUCUUGAAUGGAGGGGUGGAGUAGCAGUGAGAAGAACCCCUAUAGACAAUGAGGGCAUCCUGUGACAAUGGGAUUCCUUAGGUCAGGCUGUGCAAAUGAGGUAAGAUUUCCCUUAGCUUGGUUAUGAGCUAGGCAGGGAUUGCAGCAACCAAACCUAAAGCCCAGCACAACCCAUGAGCAAAAGCUCUUCUAGCAGUUCCACUGGCUUGGGAGACAGGAGCGGUGUGAAGGCCUGGAGGGGCAUAGCAGAUGUCAUUUGAUGGACAUGCUCAUGCUCGGGCUCUAACUGGGCAGGUUUCUGAGCCUUUGGGCUGCCUUGCAAACCUGGAGCUCCUGCUCAAAGCUGAGGAAGAGAGAUGAACCUGAGUUCCUGCAUCCCAGAGACAUGCUUGAAACCCUGAGUGAGUGAGUGAGUGAGUGAGGCAUGUAGCUGUCCACUCCUUGUGAGGGCAGUGAGGGUGCAAGGAUUAACCUGGUUUUAAGGCCGUGCAUUCCAGGAGAGAGUUCGAUUCUGUGGAUGUAAAGCAGACAGACACACCUGAAAGAGGGAACACCAGUGCAAAACAAAGAACUUGCCAUUAAGGUCUGUGUGAGAUGGUUCCUGCUCAAGGCAAGCAUUCUGCCACUCUGCGAAGUCCAUCAGAUAUACAUAGCAGCUACUGAGUCUGUGUCAUACUGGCUGCAGGGUGUUCUGCAAGAAAACUGGUUAUGUGAAGAGUGUGAGUUUGUGGGCUGAUAAAAAUCAGCUGUUGUCAGAGCCCAUCCUGUGCACAGUGGCUGUGUGUGGCCUGCAGAAGGAACAGUUCUCUGAACUGGAGACUGAAAUGGUGAAACCCUACAGCUUUCAGAGAUCUAGGAAGGAACACUGUGGAGACAGUAUUCUCACAGGAGAAUGGAUAUUUGGUACAUGAGCUCUGAAUAACGCUGAAAGAUACAGCAAGGCCGUGAGAGGCCCGAGGAGGCUUAAGCAAGCAAGAUAAGAAGAAGCUGGAAUUCACUGAUUUAUGAGAACUGUGGACUGUUGACAAGCACUCGAGGUCAAGUUCUUACACCUGUGCUUAACACCAAUUAUAUGUUUGUCACUAAGGGUCUUCAAGGCAUGUAUCCAAUCAUGAUAUGCCAAAUUGCUGUAGGUGUGUGUAGGUGAUAGUAUAUAAAGAGUUAAUGCUUUGCAAUAAAUGGCUUUUUGUCUGAU